GGUUCGACAUGCCUGGCCCGCCGGCGUCAGCUGGUGAGUGCCGGAGCGUGUCUGCCAUCCUUCUAGAAAACGGCCUUGCCCUUCACUGGGUUGAGGUCGCGAUCUAGAUCUUUUACUUUGAAAAAAUUAGAGUGUUUAAAGCAGGCUUACGCUAUGAAUACAUUAGCAUGGAAUAAUAAUUUAGGACUUCGUCUCUAUUUUGUUGGUUUCUAGAGCUGAAGUA
rnacentral:rRNA from 1 species